rnacentral:rRNA from 1 species
AACGAACGCUGGCGGCAUGCCUAACACAUGCAAGUCGAACGAGACCUUCGGGUCUAGUGGCGCACGGGUGCGUAACGCGUGGGAAUCUGCCCUUCGGUUGGGAAUAACUGAGAGAAAUUUCAGCUAAUACCUUAUAAUGUCUUCGGACCAAAGAUUUAUCGCCGAGGGAUGAGCCCGCGUAGGAUUAGGUAGUUGGUGGGGUAAUGGCCCACCAAGCCGACGAUCCUUAGCUGGUCUGAGAGGAUGAUCAGCCACACUGGGACUGAGACACGGCCCAGACUCCUACGGGAGGCAGCAGUGGGGAAUAUUGGACGAUGGGCGAAAGCCUGAUCCAGCAAUGCCGCGUGAGUGAUGAAGGCCUUAGGGUUGUAAAGCUCUUUUACCCGGGAUGAUAAUGACAGUACCGGGAGAAUAAGCUCCGGCUAACUCCGUG